GUCGGGUGCAGUGGCGCAUGCCUGUAGUUCCAGCUACUUGGGAGGCUGAAGAGGGAGGAUCGCUUGAGCCCAGGAGUUCUGGGCUGUAGUGCACUAUGCCGAUCAGGUGUCUGCACUAAGUUUGGCAUCAAUAUGGUGACCUCCCAGGAGGGGGAUCACCAGGUUGCCUAAGGAGGGGUGAACCGGCCCAGGUCAGAAGCGGAGCUGGUCAAAACUCCUGUGCUGAUCAGUAGAGGGAUCGCACCUAUGAAUAGCUACUGCACUCCAGCCUGGGCAACAUAGCAAGACCCCAUCUCU
ensembl:misc_RNA Metazoa_SRP Metazoan signal recognition particle RNA